GGUUAAGCGACUAAGCGUACACGGUGGAUGCCCUGGCAGUCAGAGGCGAUGAAGGACGUGCUAAUCUGCGAUAAGCGUCGGUAAGGUGAUAUGAACCGUUAUAACCGGCGAUUUCCGAAUGGGGAAACCCAGUGUGAUUCGUCACACUAUCAUUAACUGAAUCCAUAGGUUAAUGAGGCGAACCGGGGGAACUGAAACAUCUAAGUACCCCGAGGAAAAGAAAUCAACCGAGAUUCCCCCAGUAGCGGCGAGCGAACGGGGAGCAGCCCAGAGCCUGAAUCAGUGUGUGUGUUAGUGGAAGCGUCUGGAAAGGCGUGCGAUACAGGGUGACAGCCCCGUACACAAAAAUGCACAUACUGUGAGCUCGAUGAGUAGGGCGGGACACGUGGUAUCCUGUCUGAAUAUGGGGGGACCAUCCUCCAAGGCUAAAUACUCCUGACUGACCGAUAGUGAACCAGUACCGUGAGGGAAAGGCGAAAAGAACCCCGGCGAGGGGAGUGAAAAAGAACCUGAAACCGUGUACGUACAAGCAGUGGGAGCACGCUUAGGCGUGUGACUGCGUACCUUUUGUAUAAUGGGUCAGCGACUUAUAUUCUGUAGCAAGGUUAACCGAAUAGGGGAGCCGAAGGGAAACCGAGUCUUAACUGGGCGUUAAGUUGCAGGGUAUAGACCCGAAACCCGGUGAUCUAGCCAUGGGCAGGUUGAAGGUUGGGUAACACUAACUGGAGGACCGAACCGACUAAUGUUGAAAAAUUAGCGGAUGACUUGUGGCUGGGGGUGAAAGGCCAAUCAAACCGGGAGAUAGCUGGUUCUCCCCGAAAGCUAUUUAGGUAGCGCCUCGUGAAUUCAUCUCCGGGGGUAGAGCACUGUUUCGGCAAGGGGGUCAUCCCGACUUACCAACCCGAUGCAAACUGCGAAUACCGGAGAAUGUUAUCACGGGAGACACACGGCGGGUGCUAACGUCCGUCGUGAAGAGGGAAACAACCCAGACCGCCAGCUAAGGUCCCAAAGUCAUGGUUAAGUGGGAAACGAUGUGGGAAGGCCCAGACAGCCAGGAUGUUGGCUUAGAAGCAGCCAUCAUUUAAAGAAAGCGUAAUAGCUCACUGGUCGAGUCGGCCUGCGCGGAAGAUGUAACGGGGCUAAACCAUGCACCGAAGCUGCGGCAGCGACGCUGAUGCGUUGUUGGGUAGGGGAGCGUUCUGUAAGCCUGUGAAGGUGUGCUGUGAGGCAUGCUGGAGGUAUCAGAAGUGCGAAUGCUGACAUAAGUAACGAUAAAGCGGGUGAAAAGCCCGCUCGCCGGAAGACCAAGGGUUCCUGUCCAACGUUAAUCGGGGCAGGGUGAGUCGACCCCUAAGGCGAGGCCGAAAGGCGUAGUCGAUGGGAAACAGGUUAAUAUUCCUGUACUUGGUGUUACUGCGAAGGGGGGACGGAGAAGGCUAUGUUGGCCGGGCGACGGUUGUCCCGGUUUAAGCGUGUAGGCUGGUUUUCCAGGCAAAUCCGGAAAAUCAAGGCUGAGGCGUGAUGACGAGGCACUACGGUGCUGAAGCAACAAAUGCCCUGCUUCCAGGAAAAGCCUCUAAGCAUCAGGUAACAUCAAAUCGUACCCCAAACCGACACAGGUGGUCAGGUAGAGAAUACCAAGGCGCUUGAGAGAACUCGGGUGAAGGAACUAGGCAAAAUGGUGCCGUAACUUCGGGAGAAGGCACGCUGAUAUGUAGGUGAAGUCCCUCGCGGAUGGAGCUGAAAUCAGUCGAAGAUACCAGCUGGCUGCAACUGUUUAUUAAAAACACAGCACUGUGCAAACACGAAAGUGGACGUAUACGGUGUGACGCCUGCCCGGUGCCGGAAGGUUAAUUGAUGGGGUUAGCGCAAGCGAAGCUCUUGAUCGAAGCCCCGGUAAACGGCGGCCGUAACUAUAACGGUCCUAAGGUAGCGAAAUUCCUUGUCGGGUAAGUUCCGACCUGCACGAAUGGCGUAAUGAUGGCCAGGCUGUCUCCACCCGAGACUCAGUGAAAUUGAACUCGCUGUGAAGAUGCAGUGUACCCGCGGCAAGACGGAAAGACCCCGUGAACCUUUACUAUAGCUUGACACUGAACAUUGAGCCUUGAUGUGUAGGAUAGGUGGGAGGCUUUGAAGUGUGGACGCCAGUCUGCAUGGAGCCGACCUUGAAAUACCACCCUUUAAUGUUUGAUGUUCUAACGUUGACCCGUAAUCCGGGUUGCGGACAGUGUCUGGUGGGUAGUUUGACUGGGGCGGUCUCCUCCUAAAGAGUAACGGAGGAGCACGAAGGUUGGCUAAUCCUGGUCGGACAUCAGGAGGUUAGUGCAAUGGCAUAAGCCAGCUUGACUGCGAGCGUGACGGCGCGAGCAGGUGCGAAAGCAGGUCAUAGUGAUCCGGUGGUUCUGAAUGGAAGGGCCAUCGCUCAACGGAUAAAAGGUACUCCGGGGAUAACAGGCUGAUACCGCCCAAGAGUUCAUAUCGACGGCGGUGUUUGGCACCUCGAUGUCGGCUCAUCACAUCCUGGGGCUGAAGUAGGUCCCAAGGGUAUGGCUGUUCGCCAUUUAAAGUGGUACGCGAGCUGGGUUUAGAACGUCGUGAGACAGUUCGGUCCCUAUCUGCCGUGGGCGCUGGAGAACUGAGGGGGGCUGCUCCUAGUACGAGAGGACCGGAGUGGACGCAUCACUGGUGUUCGGGUUGUCAUGCCAAUGGCACUGCCCGGUAGCUAAAUGCGGAAGAGAUAAGUGCUGAAAGCAUCUAAGCACGAAACUUGCCCCGAGAUGAGUUCUCCCUGACUCCUUGAGAGUCCUGAAGGAACGUUGAAGACGACGACGUUGAUAGGCCGGGUGUGUAAGCGCAGCGAUGCGUUGAGCUAACCGGUACUAAUGAACCGUGAGGCUUAACCUU
rnacentral:rRNA from 1 species